CGCGGCAUCGGCUGCGCCGCUCCCCUGCCCCUGUCCAAUUUUGGGUUCUUCUACGCUUUUUGGGACCUUCUGAUGAAAAUUGAGGUUGAGCAUCACUAGCAUGGCUCGCACCUGAGCUUCGUGGAGAAGGUCGAGGUGAGGACCUCCAGCACAGGUCCAAGCUGGUUUUUUUCUAGAAAAAUCUCAAGGCUGAGCACUGCUGGCUUGGAUGGAACCUGAGCACGGUGGGUUUGAGGGGGAAUUUUUUGGGUGAGCUUUGCUAAAAAAAUCUAGGUGGGCUUCCAUAGCACAUCUAGGUGAGCAUGGCCAGAAAAUCUGGGUGGGCUUUGCUAGCACACCUAGGUGGGCUUCCAUACCACAUCUAGGUGGGCUUCCCUAGCAUAUCUAGGUGGGCUUUGCUAGCACAUCUAGGGGAGCAUGGCCAGAAAACCUGGAUGAGCUUUGCUAGCACACCUAGGUGAGCUUCCAUAGCAUAUCGAGGUGAGCAUGGCCAGAAAAAUCUAGGUGAGCUUCCAUAGCACAUCUAGGUGAGCGUGGCUAGAAAAUCUGGGUGGGCUUUGCUAGCACACCUAGGUGGGCUUCCAUAGCAUGUCUAGGUGAGCAUGGCCAGAAAAUCUGGGUGGGCUUUGCUAGCACACCUAGGUGGGCUUCCAUAGCAUGUCUAGGUGAGCAUGGCCAGAAAAUCUGGGUGGGCUUUGCUAGCACACCUAGGUGGGCUUCCAUAGCACGUCUAGGUGAGCAUGGCCAGAAAACCUAGGUGAGCUUUCCUAACACGUCUAGGUGGGCUUUCCUAGCUCAUCUAGGUGAGCAAGGCAAGAAAACCUGGGUGGGCUUUGCUAACACAUCUUGAUGGGCUUCCCUAGCUCAUCUAGGGGAGCUCUGCUUGAGCAUCUGGUUGAGUAUUGCUAGAAAAUCGAGGUGAGCUUCCAUAGCACAUCUAGGUGGGCUUCCCUAGCUCAUCUAGGGGAGCAUGGCCAGAAAAAUCCAGGCGAGCAUGGCCAGCACACCUAGGUGGGCUUCCAUAGCACAUCUAGGCGAGCUUUGCUUGCACAUCCAGCUGAGCACGGCCAGAAAACCUAGCGGAGCUUUGCUAGCACAUCUUGGUGGGCUUCCAUAGCACAUCUUGGUGGGCUUCCCUAGCAUGUCGAGUUGAGCUUCCCUAGCACACCUUUGUGAGCACGGUCAGAAAAUCUGGGUGGGCUCUGCUAGCACAUCUAGGUGGGCUUCCAUAGCACGUCUAGGUGAGCAUGGCCAGAAAACCUAGGUGGGCUUCCAUAGCACAUCUAGGCGAGCUUUGCUUGCACAUCCAGCUGAGCAUGGUCAGAAAAUCUGGGUGGGCUUUGCUAGCACAUCUAGGUGGGCUUCCAUAGCACAUCUAGGUGAGCAUGGCCGGAAAACCUAGGUGGGCUUUGCUAGCACAUCUUGGUGGGCUUCCCUAGCUCAUCUAGGGGAGCUCUGCUUGAGCAUCUGGUUGAGUAUUGCUAGAAAAUCGAGGUGAGCUUCCAUAGCACAUCUAGGUGGGCUUCCCUAGCAAACCUAGGUGGGCAUGGCCAGCACAUCUCGGUGGGCUUCCCUAGCUCAUCUAGGGGAGCAUGGCCAGAAAAAUCUAGGCGAGCAUGGCCAGCACACCUAGGUGGGCUUCCAUAGCACGUCUAGGUGGGCUUCCUUGGCACAGCUAGCACAUCUAGGUGAGCACGGCCAGAAAACCUAGGUGAGCUUUGCUAGCACAUCGAGGUGGGCUUCCAUCGCUCACCUAGGUGGGCUUCCCUAGGACCUCUAGGGAAGCAUGGCCAGAAAACCUAGGUGGGCUUCCAUAGCACAUCUAGGCGAGCUUUGCUUGCACAUCCAGCUGAGCAUGGUCAGAAAAUCUGGGUGGGCUCUGCUAGCACAUCUAGGUGGGCUUCCAUAGCACGUCUAGGUGAGCAUGGCCAGAAAACCUAGGUGGGCUUUGCUAGCACAUCUUGGUGGGCUUCCCUAGCUCAUCUAGGGGAGCUCUGCUUGAGCAUCUGGUUGAGUAUUGCUAGAAAAUCGAGGUGAGCUUCCAUAGCACAUCUCGGUGGGCUUCCCUAGCAAACCUAGGUGGGCAUGGCCAGCACAUCUCGGUGGGCUUCCCUAGGACCUCUAGGGAAGCAUGGCCAGAAAACCUAGGUGGGCUUCCAUAGCACAUCUAGGCGAGCUUUGCUUGCACAUCCAGCUGAGCAUGGUCAGAAAAUCUGGGUGGGCUCUGCUAGCACAUCUAGGUGGGCUUCCAUAGCACGUCUAGGUGAGCAUGGCCAGAAAACCUAGGUGGGCUUUGCUAGCACAUCUUGGUGGGCUUCCCUAGCUCAUCUAGGGGAGCUCUGCUUGAGCAUCUGGUUGAGUAUUGCUAGAAAAUCGAGGUGAGCUUCCAUAGCACAUCUCGCUGAGCACGGCCAGAAAACCUAGCGGAGCUUUGCUAGCACAUCUUGGUGGGCUUCCAUAGCACAUCUUGGUGGGCUUCCCUAGCAUGUCGAGUUGAGCUUCCCUAGCACACCUUUGUGAGCACGGUCAGAAAAUCUGGGUGGGCUCUGCUAGCACAUCUAGGUGGGCUUCCAUAGCACAUCUCGGUGAGCAUGGCCAGAAAAUCUGCGUGGGCUUUCCUAGCACACCUAGGUGGGCUUCCAUAGUACGUCUAGGUGAGCAUGGCCAGAAAAAUCUAGGUGGGCAUGGCCAGCACAUCUCGGUGGGCUUCCCUAGCUCAUCUAAGGGAGCAUGGCCAGAAAAUCUGGGUGAGCUUCCCUAGCUCACCUAGGUGGGCUUCCCUAGCACAUCUAGGUGGACUUCCAUCUGACGUCUAGGUGGCCAUGGCUAGCAGGUCUAGGCGACCACCACCGUCAGAGCUCUACGCGUACGUAGCUUACGGACGUGACGCCAAGGUCCUGGAGAAGCUCGAUGCGCACGAGCGUUGCCGUCACAUCUGGGUGGCCAUGGCCAGAACAUCUCAGUGGCCACGGCCAUCAGAUCUCGGUGGCCAUCUUUGGAACCUGCAGGUGACCCUCGGUGGCACCUCUUGGUGGCCACCGUGACCUCCUCUUGGUGGCCACCACCAUGAGAACCUGUAGGUGACCACCAGCAUUGGUGGCCGUCAUUGGCAUGUCUUGGUGACUAUCACCAUUAAUACCUCUUGGUGGCCACCAACAUCACAUCCUGGUGACCACCAUGACCUCCAGGUGGCCACCAUCACCCCUUGGUGGCCACCAUGACCUCUUGGUGACCACCACCAUCACCUCCUAGUGGCCACCAGGAACUCCUGGUGGCCAACACCAUGACCUCCUGCUGGCCACCAUGACCUCCUGCUGGCCACCAUGACCUCCUGGUGACCACCACCAUCACCUCCUAGUGGCCACCAGGAACUCCUGGUGGCCAACACCACCACCUCUUGGUGACCACCACCAUCACCUCCUAGUGGCCACCAGGAACUCCUGGUGGCCAACACCACCACCUCCUGCUGGCCACCAUGACCUCCUGCUGGCCACCAUGACCUCUUGGUGACCACCACCAUCACCUCCUAGUGGCCACCAGGAACUCCUGGUGGCCAACACCACCACCUCCUGGUGGCCACCAUGACCUCUUGGUGACCACCACCAUCACCUCCUAGUGGCCACCAGGAACUCCUGGUGGCCAACACCACCACCUCCUGCUGGCCACCAUGACCUCCUGCUGGCCACCAUGACCUCUUGGUGACCGCCACCAGGAACUCCUGGUGGCCAACACCACCACCUCCUGGUGGCCACCAUGACCUCUUGGUGACCACCACCAUCACCUCCUAGUGGCCACCAGGAACUCCUGGUGGCCAACACCACCACCUCCUGCUGGCCACCAUCACCUCCUGCUGGCCACCAUCACCUCUUGGUGGCCACCGUGACCUCUUGGUGGCCCAUGGUGGCCCACCAAGGUGACCUCUUGGUGGCCCUCCUGC